rnacentral:lncRNA from 1 species
GGAAUACUAGAUACACUUACUGACUGGGGGAUUUGACCAGCAGUUGGCUGCAUUUCCAGCUAAGUCGUCAGCCUGGAUAUUGAUGAAUUUUUUUAAUAAGAGAACAUCUCUUUUUAUCUCUGUCUCUGUCAAAAGUGAGUGAACACAGGACAUAGUGUUCACAGUUGAAGGAGCAGGUACCUCCAUAAAUCCGUUUCUCCAUGAGAACAACAAAAACAGCGAAACAAAAUACCCAGUCAACUUUUUCCGAACUCUGGAAGUCAACCAAAGCACCAUCCAGUGAAAUUACAAACCCAUCCUGAAUUGAAAUCUAAGCCAUACCAAGAUCAUGGGACCUGUGGCUGGUUGCCUGUGUUUUCCUCCUGGAUUCUAAAGGGCCCCUCCAAAGGACAAAGGUGUGGAAUCCAUGUGAGCCACCUGAGGCCAAGGUGCGGCUUUACAGAGGCAGCAGCGGCAGCAGCGGCGGCAGCAGCGCAGCUCCAUAUUCCCAAAUCCCUUCCCCUUUCUCUUUUUCCUUCUCCAAUUUAUCCAUUGCUUUCCUGAGCCUCCUAAGAUAGCAGUAGAUUUACAAAUGGGCUAUUAGAGAUGUGAGAUGUUUUUUGCAAAUUAGUAAACAUACAUCAUUCGUUAGUCAUAAACAAUAGAUUUUGAGGAACUGUCCUACAAUUAACAAUCUCAUUUCAUUUUUGAUGUACUUUAUUCAUGACGAGGUCUCAUCUUACUUUCAAUUCUCCAAAGGUG